rnacentral:rRNA from 1 species
UACGGGGGGGGGCAAGCGUUUGUUCGGAAUUACUGGGCGUAAAGGGCUCGUAGGCGGCCAACUAAGUCAGACGUGAAAUCCCUCGGCUUAACCGGGGAACUGCGUCUGAUACUGGAUGGCUUGAGAUUGGGAGAGGGAUGCGGAAUUCCAGGUGUAGCGGUGAAAUGCGUAGAUAUCUGGAGGAACACCGGUGGCGAAGGCGGCAUCCUGGACCAACACUGACGCUGAGGAGCGAAAGCCAGGGGAGCAAACGGG